rnacentral:rRNA from 1 species
AUACGGAAGGUCCGGGCGUUAUCCGGAUUUAUUGGGUUUAAAGGGAGCGCAGGCGGAGAUGCAAGCGUGACGUCAAAUUUCGGGGCUCAACCCCGUCUCGCGUCGCGAACUGCGUCCCUUGGUUGCGGGAAGGGGAGGCGGAACUCGUGGUGAAGCGGUGAAAUGCAUAGAUAUCACGAAGAACUCCGAUCGCGAAGGCAGCCUUCCGGCCCGUCAACAACGCUCAUGCUCGAAGGUGCGGGUAUCAAACAGGAGUAGAUACCCUGGUAGUCCGCACAGUAAACGAUGGACACCCGCGGUUUGGCCUAUAUGGCUGAGCCGCCAAGCGAAAGCGUUAAGUGUCCCACCUGGGGAGUACGCCGGCAACGGUGAAACUCAAAUGAAUUGGCGGGU